UGUAACAUUGUAUGUAAUAAAUAACUAUUAUUGUACAUAUACAGGGUUGGGCAAAAGUCCGGCAACGGUCAAAUAUCUCAAAAAGGAUCAACUAUAGCAAAAAAUAUGUAAGUAGCAAAGUUGUAGGGUUUACUAAAAUGUACCUAAUAAUGACGAAAAAUUUGAUUUUGGAUGGAGGAUGAAGAUCAUAUAAAGGUAAAAUUAAAUUUUUUAAAUGGAACUGCCUACUUUUUAUUACACAAUCUUAUAGCUUAUUUUGAUACCUUUCUAAAACACUAUAAAUAAAUGUUUUAUUAUUAAGUAUUUUUUGAGUUACAAAACUUGAAAGUUACAGUACCGUCGGCAUAACCCAAAGUGCACCGCGUGGAGGUUGCACGGUCAGAUUUGCACUUCGUGUGCGUGCGUACGUGUGUGUAGCAGCAGAGAUUAGGACCCGACGGUUCGUCACUUCCGCGGUAUUUAGUGACUCCAAAUCCUCUCUGCUGUGUGUGUAAGUGAUAUACCUUUGAAAAUAUCAUUUCCUAUUUUUUCAAUUAAUCAAAUGUUCAAAAUGUCUUUCUUCUAUCGUUUGACAAUGAGCUAAACGCUCAUAGAAAUUAUUGAUCACAUUUCUUAUUUGUUCUAAAGUGAUCAGAGAUGUUUCCUGUGUUAUUCAGUUGCUAAGGUCUUCCAAAUUACGUGAUUUUGCCGCAUAAACCUUACUUUUGAGAUGUUCCCAAAAAAAAUAAUCAAGAGAAGACAAAUCAGGUGAUUUAGCAGGCCAUUCAAUGGUACCUCUCCUACCUAUCCAUCGAUUAGGAAAACCACGGUUUAGAAGUUCUCGAAUUCUUACUGCAUAAUGAGGUCCUGCUCCAUCUUGAUGGAACCACACGUUUUCAUUCAAAUUAGCACCUAUAAAAAAUGGGCUAAUAAUACCGCGACUACAGAUUCCUGCCCAGACAUUCAAUUUUUGUGGAUACUGUGUGCGAAGAUCACUCAUCCAAUGUGGAUUGUCAUCACUCCAAUACCUACAAUUGUGACGAUUAACAGCACCGUUUAUUUCAAAUGUGGCUUCGUCAGAACAAACAUAAUUUAAAAAAUCAGCUUUAUUACUUUGAUGCAUGAUUUCUUCACAAAAUUGAAUUCUUCUACAAUCGUUUUCCAUAAGUUCUUGAGUGAUCAUCAUUUUAUAAAAAUAUCUGUCUUUUUAAAAUUUUUUUAACGCUCCUGGAACUGACAUUAUGGGCUUGCGCUGUUUUGGGUACAGAUAAAUGAGGAUUUUCUUGUAAAACGAUCCAAACUAUCAUCAUUUGUUGCGGAUUUUGGCCUUCCGCCGGGAGGUUGGUCUUUAACUGUUCCUGUUUUGUGAAAACGUAUCACUAUCCUCUGAACGGUGGAUUUAGAAAUAGGAUUGCGAUUAGGAUACGUAGCACACACGCGCGCACACACGCGCGCGCGCGCGCGCGCGUGUGUGUGUGUGUGUGUGUGUGUGUGUGUGUGUGUGUGCGCGUAUAUUCAUUAUUUGUGACGUAUAUAAGUGACGUUAUAUAAGACAUUCUACAGGAGAGGCUUUUUGGGAUAAUUUCUGUAGUUUCUGAUAAAGCAACAAUAUUUUAGUAAUAUAAUUUUCAGUUAAUU